GGGAUCGCUGGGGCUACUUUGGAGGCUGGCCGCCUCCCUCUAGGAUGAAGCUGGCACUGACACAAACAGAUUGAAAAGUGAGAUGAAUCAGCGCAGUCAAUUGGAAAGAGCACAUUCAGAGUAGGAUGUACCUGAGUCAUCCAGGUAGCACUCUUGCUACCUUGUGGUAAUUACCUCACUGAGCCUUAAACUUCCCAUCCCUAACCAUUACCCAAGACUUGAGAGCAAGUGAGAAAAUUCCAAG
rnacentral:lncRNA from 1 species